UACGGGGGGGGGUAAGCGUUGUUCGGAAUUACUGGGCGUAAAGGGCUCGUAGGCGGCCAACUAAGUCAGACGUGAAAUCCCUCAGCUUAACUGGGGAACUGCGUCUGAUACUGGAUGGCUUGGAUCCGGAAGAGGGAUGCGGAAUUCCAGGUGUAGCGGUGAAAUGCGUAGAUAUCGGGGAGGAAUACCAGUGGCGAAGGCGGCUUCUUGGCCUGUUCUUGACGCUGAGGCGCGAAAAGCUGGGGGGAGCAAACGGG
rnacentral:rRNA from 1 species